GACGAACGCUGGCGGCGUGCUUAACACAUGCAAGUCGAGCGGUAAGGCCCUUUCGGGGGUACACGAGCGGCGAACGGGUGAGUAACACGUGGGUGACCUGCCCUCAGCUCUGGGAUAAGCCUGGGAAACCGGGUCUAAUACCGGAUAUGACUCCAUGACGCAUGUUGUGGGGUGGAAAGCCUUGUGCGGCUGAGGAUGGGCCCGCGGCCUAUCAGCUUGUUGGUGGGGGAUGGCCUACCAAGGCGACGACGGUAGCCGGCCUGAGAGGGCGACCGGCCACACUGGGACUGAGACACGGCCCAGACUCCUACGGGAGGCAGCAGUGGGGAAUCUUGCGCAAUGGCGAAAGCCUGACGCAGCGACGCCGCGUGAGGGAUGACGGCCUGGUGUAA
rnacentral:rRNA from 1 species